CUUUCCCCACUGAUUUUACAUGACUUGUAUUAACAUUGCCACACCACCUGUUCUAGUGGAUAGCUUUUCAGUUAAUAUUUGACAUUGCUGGCUUCUGUUGAAACUUUUUGCAUUCUGCGCCAUGUGACGAGGCUAACGUUACACAGGGUGCUGUCCAGGGCAAUGUCAGGCGUGAAGAAAGAGCCUCCGGUUCAAGCAGAGGCAAAUGCCCUGGCAGGUGACCUGGCAUUGGAUGUGCUCAUGACAGUACACCGAGUGACAGCAUCUGACAUUGUAAUUGUCUGCUCCGGGCAAGGACAUGGUCGGUGUUAUACAUCUUAAGUUUCCUUGCAGUCGAAAUAAUUCAUAACUGGAAUUGCUGGUAUCUAUAACCUGAUCUCGGCAAGCUGGUGGAAUUUUAGAUUUACAGCGCUCCUGUCAUGGGUAAAAUAACAAGGAUUCGAAAUAUUCAAAGGCUUCUGAAUAUCAGGGAAUUUUCUUUUUUCAUUUGACUAAAUUAUAAAUGUUAUGUUGUCAUUUAGUGACACUCUCUUCCUGCUACACUUGUUUAUUGAGAUUACGGUGGAAAUAAUUAAAUAAAAGAAAAUAUUACAAAUAAUUCAAACAUAUAUAAUAAUGAAUCAUUUAGUAAGCAAUCUCAACUUUACACUUUCACACAGCAGAGCGUUGAGCUAGGCGAAAUAACUGAUUUAUUGGAGUUGAAAAAAAGUGGAUAUCUAAAAUGCAUGACAGUGUUACACAUAUCUUGCAAAUUCCAACUGAACACCCCCCAAACUGCUGGUGGUAGUCAAGUAAGUAAUCGACAAUAGGAGAGCCGGCGACAAAAUAUUUUAUUUGUAUAUUGAUAAACAUGUUGUCCUGCAUUAGAUGUCACCUUCUGCGCAGCACAUGUGCUGUGAAUUCUCUGUGCGGGACCUGCAUCCUCCAAUAAAUGGAAAUUCCUGUGCUUUA